AGUGAACGCCGGCGGUAGGCCUAACGCAUGCAAGUCGAACGGCAGCACAGUAAGAGCUUGCUCUUACGGGUGGCGAGUGGCGGACGGGUGAGGAAUACAUCGGAAUCUACUUUUUCGUGGGGGAUAACGUAGGGAAACUUACGCUAAUACCGCAUACGACCUACGGGUGAAAGCAGGGGAUCUUCGGACCUUGCGCGAUUGAAUGAGCCGAUGUCGGAUUAGCUAGUUGGCGGGGUAAAGGCCCACCAAGGCGACGAUCCGUAGCUGGUCUGAGAGGAUGAUCAGCCACACUGGAACUGAGACACGGUCCAGACUCCUACGGGAGGCAGCAGUGGGGAAUAUUGGACAAUGGGCGCAAGCCUGAUCCAGCCAUACCGCGUGGGUGAAGAAGGCCUUCGGGUUGUAAAGCCCUUUUGUUGGGAAAGAAAAGCAGCAGGUUAAUACCCCGCUGUUCUGACGGUACCCAAAGAAUAAGCACCGGCUAACUUCGUG
rnacentral:rRNA from 1 species